rnacentral:rRNA from 1 species
ACUCAAAGGAAUUGACGGGAGAGCGCACAACCAGUGGAGCAUGUGGUUCAAUUCGAGACAAACCGAAGAACCUUACCAGGGUUUGACAUGCUAUCGUUUUAGUUCCGCAGAAACGUGGAAUGAUCUUAUUGAAAAAUAGGAUGAUAGCACAGGUGUUGCAUGGCUGUCGUCAGCUCGUGCCGUGGGGUGUUCCCUUCAGUGGGGUAACGAGCGCAACCCCUGUCCUGUAUUAAAUAUUUACAGGAGACUUUUCACCUUUUUGGUGGGAGGAAGUGGGGAUGAUGUCAAGUCAGCAUGGCCCUUAUGUCCUGGGCUACACACAUGCUACAAUGGAGCCGACAAUGGGUUGCCAAGCCGUAAGGCGGAGCUAAUCCCAUCAAACGGCUUCUCAGUGGGGAUUGAGGGCUGCAAUUCGCCCUCAUGAACGCGGAAUUGGUAGUAAUCGGGUAUCAGCUAUGGCCCGGUGAAUACGUUCUCGCUCUUUGUACACACCGCCCGU